UACGUAGGGUGCAAGCGUUGUCCGGAAUUAUUGGGCGUAAAGAGCUCGUAGGCGGCUUGUCGCGUCGGCUGUGAAAACCUGGGGCUCAACCCCGGGCCUGCAGCCGAUACGGGCAAGCUAGAAUUCGGUAGGGGAGACUGGAAUUCCUGGUGUAGCGGUGAAAUGCGCAGAUAUCAGGAGGAACACCGGUGGCGAAGGCGGGUCUCUGGGCCGAAAUUGACGCUGAGGAGCGAAAAGCGUGGGGAGCAAACAGG
rnacentral:rRNA from 1 species